AAUGAACGCUGGCGGCGCGCCUAAUACAUGCAAGUCGAGCGAGAAGACGUAGCAAUACGUUUGUAAAGCGGCGAACGGGUGAGGAAUACAUGGGUAACCUACCCUAGAGUGGGGAAUAACUAGCCGAAAGGUUAGCUAAUACCGCGUACGCUCCUUGGACUUCGGUUCAGGGAGGAAAGCGAUACCGAGGGUAUCGCGCUCUUGGAUGGGGCUC
rnacentral:rRNA from 1 species